rnacentral:lncRNA from 1 species
CUUGCUUUUGAACCCUGUUAUUAUUGCAUAUUAAUUUAAAAUUACAGUAAGAACCCAUAAGCCUUAAAUUCUGGUUCUGCCUCUGGGUGCAGGGUCAGACCACAAGGGUCUAUUGUACGCAACCUUACCCUGUAUUUUUACAAGAGGCUAUUUCCACGGCUCGAAUCUGUAACCUGUAAUCACAUGAAAACAACUUUAUCAGUUACGCCACGACCCUCCUCCUCGUGAUUACUAAAUAUUUCUGGUCUAAAAGUUGCCAUUUUUUAAAAAUCAAGGUAUAAUUUAUUAUCUUUUUCCACUUUUUCCUUAGCAUUAAUAGUCCUUGAAGUAAAAAUCAUUGAGUAACAGAGAGAAUAUUUAUGGAAGAAAGAUUAAAGCUAUAAAUAAGGGUAUUGUAGUAAAAAUGUUCUUAUUGAUUGCUUAUUAAAAAACGUAUAAAAGAAAAUCACGAUAAUUAAAAUAGAGCGGAGAGAGUACUUUCUGAACUUGAAGGAAAGCCAUAUUGUUUCAAACACGUUGACAUCC